rnacentral:rRNA from 1 species
CCUACGGGAGGCAGCAGUGAGGAAUAUUGGUCAAUGGCCGGAAGGCUGAACCAGCCAUGCCGCGUGAAGGUCAGUGCCCUAUGGGCGUUAAACUUCUUUUGUGCGGGAGCAAUAAUGGUCACGUGUGGCCAGACGAGAGUACCGUACGAAUAAGCAUCGGCUAACUCCGUGCCAGCAGCCGCGGUAAUACGGGGGAUGCAAGCGUUAGCCGGAAUUAUUGGGUUUAAAGGGUGCGUAGGCUGUGAGGUAAGUCAGCGGUGAAAUGCCCCCGCUCAACGGGGUGAAGUGCCAUUGAUACUGCCUGGCUGGAAUGCGGAUGCCGUGGGAGGAAUGUGUGGUGUAGCGGUGAAAUGCAUAGAUAUCACACAGAACACCGAUUGCGAAGGCAUCUCACGAAUCCGCGAUUGACGCUGAUGCACGAAAGCGUGGGUAUCAAACAGGAUUAGAUACCCGUGUAGUC